UUGACAUCCAGCGAAUUCGGUAGAGAUACCUUAGUGCCUUCGGGAACGCUGAGACAGGUGCUGCAUGGCUGUCGUCAGCUCGUGUUGUGAAAUGUUGGGUUAAGUCCCGCAACGAGCGCAACCCUUAUCCUUUGUUGCCAGCGGUCCGGCCGGGAACUCAAAGGAGACUGCCAGUGAUAAACUGGAGGAAGGUGGGGAUGACGUCAAGUCAUCAUGGCCCUUACGAGUAGGGCUACACACGUGCUACAAUGGCGCAUACAAAGAGAAGCGACCUCGCGAGAGCAAGCGGACCUCAUAAAGUGCGUCGUAGUCCGGAUUGGAGUCUGCAACUCGACUCCAUGAAGUCGGAAUCGCUAGUAAUCGUAGAUCAGAAUGCUACGGUGAAUACGUUCCCGGGCCUUGUACACACCGCCCGUCACACCAUGGGAGUGGGUUGCAAAAGAAGUAGGUAGCUUAACCUUCGGGAGGGCGCUUACCACUUUGUGAUUCAUGACUGGGGUGAAGUCGUAACAAGGUAGGCGUACGUGU
rnacentral:rRNA from 1 species